CAAAUCUUAGGAGUAUUGCACAUCGUCUUGACCCUGGAGAGUGGACAGAAGUCAGGAUUGGAUAUUGGGGUCUUUCCUCAGCAGACCAACAGCAUUGAUUGUGGUGUUUUCAUGCUCAUGUAGGAGCAAAUUGAUGUUAUUUACACUCACCUGACUUCAAUUCUGGACAGCAUACCCACACACACCCACAGUGACCAGAUUUGAUUCAUUAUGGAUGUCCCUUUUCCAGAGUCCAUCAUCUGUGCUCUUGCUGUUGUGGAACAUGUGUCCAUCUUGGAGGCUGAGGAGAAAUUCCUGGGAGGACCUGUCAUUGACACAAAAUACUUGAGCGGGAGCACUUUGACAGCAGGAUAAAAAAACAGUAAAAGAAGAGUGGAAAACCAUAGGAGAGUGAUGGUGUUAAUAAAAAAAAUUGUGAACCACAA